AGGCUUAACACAUGCAAGUCGAACGCUCCGCAAGGGGAGUGGCAGACGGGUGAGUAACGCGUGGGAAUCUACCCAGUUCUUCGGAAUAACUGAGGGAAACUUCAGCUAAUACCGGAUACGCCCUACGGGGGAAAGAUUUAUCGGAAUUGGAUGAGCCCGCGUUGGAUUAGCUAGUUGGUGAGGUAAUGGCUCACCAAGGCGACGAUCCAUAGCUGGUCUGAGAGGAUGAUCAGCCACACUGGGACUGAGACACGGCCCAGACUCCUACGGGAGGCAGCAGUGGGGAAUAUUGGACAAUGGGCGCAAGCCUGAUCCAGCCAUGCCGCGUGAGUGAUGAAGGCCUUAGGGUUGUAAAGCUCUUUCAGUAGGGAAGAUAAUGACGGUACCUACAGAAGAAGCCCCGGCUAACUUCGUGCCAGCAGCCGCGGUAAUACGAAGGGGGCUAGCGUUGUUCGGAUUUACUGGGCGUAAAGCGCACGUAGGCGGAUUGUUAAGUUAGGGGUGAAAUCCCAGGGCUCAACCCUGGAACUGCCUUUAAUACUGGCAAUCUAGAGUCCGGAAGAGGUAAGUGGAACUCCUAGUGUAGAGGUGGAAUCGUAGAUAUAGGAAGAACACCAGUGGCGAAGGCGGCUUACUGGUCCGGUACUGACGCUGAGGUGCGAAAGCGUGGGGAGC
rnacentral:rRNA from 1 species